rnacentral:lncRNA from 1 species
UGCGUACUGAUGUUGAUUAUCAUCUUAAAACGUGUUAUAGAAUUCUUUUAUUUGACUUUAUUUAUAUUACUUUUUCCGGUUAAGUUUGAUUAUGUGAUAUUCAUUUGACGUGACUCUUUACUUAUGCAUCCCGUCAUACUCUGAACGACAAAAUUAUUUCAUUUCUACCUGUGUGACAUCAAACGCGCGAUCUAUGUUCAAUUAAAUGUUAAUACAUGUUAACCACGUGUCUGUCAGUGUAAGGAUUUGGUCCCAGCACUUAAAAUCUUUCAAUCCUU